rnacentral:rRNA from 1 species
CCUACGGGGUGCUGCAGUGGGGAAUAUUGGACAAUGGGCGAAAGCCUGAUCCAGCCAUGCCGCGUGUGUGAAGAAGGCCUUCGGGUUGUAAAGCACUUUCAGUGGGGAAGAAAGCCUUGGGGCUAAUACCCUCGAGGAAGGACAUCACCCACAGAAGAAGCACCGGCUAACUCCGUGCCAGCAGCCGCGGUAAUACGGAGGGUGCGAGCGUUAAUCGGAAUUACUGGGCGUAAAGCGCGCGUAGGCGGUCUGAUAAGCCGGUUGUGAAAGCCCCGGGCUCAACCUGGGAACGGCAUCCGGAACUGUCAGGCUAGAGUGCAGGAGAGGAAGGUAGAAUUCCCGGUGUAGCGGUGAAAUGCGUAGAGAUCGGGAGGAAUACCAGUGGCGAAGGCGGUCUUCUGGACUGACACUGACGCUGAGGUGCGAAAGCGUGGGUAGCAAACAGGAUUAGCUACCCCAGUAGUC